rnacentral:rRNA from 1 species
UAGAGAAUGACAGAGGCAACUGGAAUUCCACAUGUAGGGGUAAAAUCCGUUGAUAUGUGGAGGAACACCAAAAGCGAAGGCAGGUUGCUGGGUUAUUUCUGACGCUGAGGAACGAAAGCGUGGGGAGCAAACAGGAUUAGAUACCCUGGUAGUCCACGCCGUAAACGAUGGAUACUCGAUGUAGGGAGGAAUCGACCCCUCUCUGUGUCUAAGCUAACGCGUUAAGUAUCCCGCCUGGGGAGUACGGUCGCAAGAUUAAAACUCAAAGGAAUAGACGGGGACCCACACAAGCGGUGGGGCAUGUGGUUUAAUUCGACGAUAAACGGGGAACCUUACCAGGGCUUGACAUCUCCGGAAUCCCGAGGAAACUUGGGAGUGCCGUAAGGAACUGGAUGACAGGUGCUGCAUGGUCGUCGUCAGCUCGUGCCUUGAGGUGUUCGGUUAAGUCCGUAAACGAGCGCAACCCAUGUCCUAUGUUGCAUUUUUCAUAGGAGACUGCCGGCUCCAAGUCGGAGGAAGGUAUGGAUGACGUCAGAUCAGCAUGGCCCUUAUGCCCUGGGCUACACACGUGCUACAAUGGCCGGUACAAUGGGUAGCGAACCCGCAAGGGGGAGCCAAUCUCAUCAAAGCCGGUCUCAGUUCGGAUUGGGGGCUGAAAUUCGACCCCAUGAAGUUGGAAUCG